AAUCAUUUUGUUGUACAAGUCAGCAUGAGUUAUCAAAAGGACAUGAAGGCACCCUAACAUUAUGGAAACAAAAAUUUAAAAAAUUUGCUGAUUUAGUAUGCUGGUAUAUAGAUGUAUGAAUAAAAGUGCUCACAUGGUCAGUUUUGGUCUACACUGUCAAAUAAUUUUGUUGCACAAGUCAGCAAGAGGUAUCAAAACUACUGAAAUUUUGUUACGUAUCAAUAUUUUGAAUAAAAGGAGGACAUAUGCUGGCACCCUAAAUUUA
rnacentral:lncRNA from 1 species